GCAUGGUGUUGGCUACCCACCCCCUUGUGUGCUGUGCUGGCCAUCAGAGGUGCUACUCGUUAACAGCACUUGCCCCUACAGCCCGUUAAUGCUGCACGGGGGAUCUUUGUCUUUGGUGCAGCGAACACACUGACAGGAUUCUUGUGAGCUCUUGUGCUUGGGUUGGGUUUCGGUGAACGUUUAGGCUGGUACGAGUGGCCAGUUGGUGAUAGUUAUGGUCAGCGCUGGUGGGUCAGGGUUGACUGUAGGCCUGAAGUGUUAGGGUUAGGAUCGGUGAUGGUUGGGCAGGGUUUAGGGUAAUUUUCAUGGUUGGGUUAGUUGGUUAGGGUAUAGGGUAAGGCGGGUAACUAGGGGUUGAUUGGUUGAGGUUUAGGGUUAGUCAUAGUAGCUGGUUAGGAUUAGGCAGAGUACUAAUGGCUGGCUGGUUAUGGAUUACAGUUAUUCCUCGGGGCUGGUUAGGGUUAGGGCUAGGACCCGUGGCUAGUUGAUUAGACAUAGGAUUAGUAAUGGUUGGUUAAGGUUUCGAGGUAGCCCUAGGGGCUGGCUAGGGUGAGUACUAAUGGUUAUUUGGUAAGGCUGAGGAUUAGUGGCAGUUGCUUAAGGUUUAGAGUAUAGAUAGUAUUAGUGGCUAGUUGAUUAGACAUAGGAUUAGUGGGAGUUGCUUAAGGUUUAGAGUAUAGAUAGUAUUAGUGCCUAGUUGAUUAGACAUAGGAUUAGUGGGAGUUGCUUAAGGUUUAGAGUAUAGAUAGUAUUAGUGCCUAGUUGAUUAGACAUAGGAUUAGUGGGAGUUGCUUAAGGUUUAGAGUAUAUAUAGUAUUAGUGCCUAGUUGAUUAGACAUAGUAUUAGUGAUGGUUGCUUAAGGUUUAGAGUAUAGAUAGUAUUAGUGCCUAGUUGAUUAGACAUAGGAUUAGUGGCGGUUGCUUUAGGUUUAGAGUAUAGAUAGUAUUAGUGCCUAGUUGAUUAGACAUAGUAUUAGUGAUGGUUGCUUAAGGUUUAGAGUAUAGAUAGUAUUAGUGCCUAGUUGAUUAGCCAUAGGAUUAGUGGGAGUUGCUUAAGGUUUAGAGUAUAGAUAGUAUUAGUGCCUAGUUGAUUAGACAUAGGAUUAGUGGCGGUUGCUUAAGGUUUAGAGUAUAGAUAGUAUUAGUGCCUAGUUGAUUAGACAUAGGAUUAGUGAUGGUUGCUUAAGGUUUUGAGUAUAGAUAGUAUUAGUGCCUAGUUGAUUAGACAUAGUAUUAGUGAUGGUUGCUUAAGGUUUAGAGUAUAGAUAGUAUUAGUGCCUAGUUGAUUAGACAUAGUAUUAGUGAUGGUUGCUUAAGGUUUUGAGUAUAGAUAGUAUUAGUGCCUAGUUGAUUAGACAUAGUAUUAGUGGCGGUUGCUUAAGGUUUUGAGUAUAGAUAGUAUUAGUGCCUAGUUGAUUAGACAUAGUAUUAGUGGCGGUUGCUUAAGGUUUAGAGUAUAGAUAGUCUUAGUGCCUAGUUGAUUAGACAUAGGAUUAGUAGGAGUUGCUUAAGGUUUAGAGUAUAGAUAGUAUUAGUGCCUAGUUGAUU